rnacentral:lncRNA from 1 species
GCUCCUGCUUACUGCUUCAAGGAGGUCACGAAAGGAAGUAGAUACAACAACAAUCCAGUAUAAUUCCAUUUAGUAGGUCUGGGGAGAGUAGUGUGUACGCAGAUUUUACCCCUAUCCUGAGGUAGAGAGAUUGUUUCAAAAUAGACCCCCGAUACUUUCGACAUCUCUUUAACUCGGCGAUCACAGAGAAUUGAUCUUAGACUGAUCUUAUGAUAAAUCUGUUCGUGAGACGUCAUACACUUUUUUUUUUUAAAGUCAGAGGUUGAACCAAGAUUUCUGAUUAGCGUACACGUAGUGCCAUCACCACGGGAGGAUCCAGCUUGUGAUCUACAUGUUCCCGUAAACCCAAU